rnacentral:rRNA from 1 species
CUUGGUUGAUCCUGCUAGUAUUCAUAUGCUUGUCUCAAAGAUUAAGCCAUGCAUGUCUAAGUAUGAACUAAUUCAAACUGUGAAACUGCGGAUGGCUCAUUAAAUCAGCUAUAGUUUUUCUGAUGGUACCAUUACUACUCGGAUAACCAUAGUAAUUAUAGAGCUAAUACAUGCACCAAGUCCCGACUCUUUGGAAGGGAUGCAUUUUUUCGAUAAAAGGUUGGCGCGGGCUUUCUCGCUUCUCCGGUGAAUCAUGAUAACUCAACGGAUCGCACAACCCUUAUGCUGGCGAUGCUUCAUUCAAAUUUCUGCCCUAUCAACUUUCAAUGGUAGGAUAGAGGCCUACCAUGGUGGUGAUGGGUGACAGAGAAUUAGGGUUCAAUUCCUGAGAGGGAGCCUGAGAAACGACUACCACAUCUAAGGAAGGAAGCAGGCAUGCAAAUUACCCAAUCUUGACAUGGGGAGGUAGUGACAAUAAAUAACAAUACUAGGUUCAUCGAGUCUAGUAAUUGGAAUGAGUACAAUCUAAAUUCCUUAACGAGGGUCCAUUGGAGGGCAAGUCUAGUGCCAGUAGUCGCGAUAAUUCUAGCUCCAAUAGCGUAUAUUUAAGUUGUUGAAGUUAAAAAGCUCGUAGUUGGAUCUUCGGUCGUAAAGGUCGGUCCGCCUACUCGGUGUGCACCUGCCCUUCCAUCCCUUUUGUUGGCGGCGUGCUCCUGGCCUUAAUUGGCUGGGUCGUGGCUCCAACGUUGUUACUUUGAAAAAAUUAGAGUUCUCAAAGCAAGCUUAUGCUCUGAAUACAUUAGCAUGGAAUAAUGUGAUAGAAGUCUGGUCCUAUUGUGUUGGCCUUCGAGACCGGAGUAAUGAUUAAUAGGGACUGUCAGGGGCAUUCGUAUUUCAUUGUCAGAGGUGAAAUUCUUGGAUUUAUGAAAGACGGACCACUGCGAAAGCAUUUGCCAAGGAUUUUUUCAUUAAUCAAGAACGAAAUUUGGGGGCUCAAAUACAAUUAGGUACCAUCCUAGUCUCAACCAUAAACGAUGCCGACCAGGGAUCGGUGGAUGUUACUCUAAGGACUCCGCCAACACCUUCCAAGAAAUCAGAGUGUUUGGGUUCUAGGGGGAGUAUGGUCGCAAGGCUGAAACUUAAAGGAAUUGAUGGGAGGGCACCACCAGGAGUGGAGCCUGUGGCUUAAUUUGGUUCAACACGGGGAAACUUACCAGGUCCAGACAUAGUAAGGAUUAACAGAUUUAGAGCUCUUUCUUGAUUCUAUGGGUGGUGGUGCAUGGCUGUUCUUAGUUGGUGGAGCAAUUUGUCUGGUUAAUUCCGAUAACGAAUGAGACCUUAGCCUGCUAACUAGCUACGCAGAGGUUCCCCUUCACAGCAAACUUCUUAGAGGGACUAUGGCCAUUUAGGCCAUGGAAGUUUGAGGCAAUAACAGGUUUGUGAUGCCCUUAGAUGUUCUGGGCCACACGCAUGCUACACUGAUGCAGCCAAUGAGAUUUUCUUCCUAGUUCGAGAGGAUCAGGAAAUCUUCUAAAAUUUCAUUGUGAUGGGGAUAGACCAUUGCAAUUAUUGGUCUUCAACGAGGAAUUCCUAGUAAGCGUGUGUCAUCAACUCAUGUUGACUGUGUCCCUGUCCUUUGUACACACCGCCCAUCGCUCCUACCGAUUGAAUGAUCUGGUGAAGUGUUCGGAUUCCAUCGACGAUGGUGGUCCGCCACCAUCGACGUCGUGAGAAGUUCAUUGAACCUUAUCAUUUAGAGGAAGGAGAAGUCGUAACAAGGUUAUUGUAGGUGAACCUGUGGUAG